UUAUACUUUCAUUCCAUAGUUGUCUUGAUUUUCCACGGAAUAACCUUUAUAUUGACGUUAAAAUCUCAGUAAAAUACUGUUUUUCGCUUCUGGAUAAACACUGUCGCUACGUUGUCAUUUUUUCCACACAAAAACGGGAGAAAAACCGGUCGCUUUUAUAAUAUACUCGUUUACCGCUUUCGUUGUGGGCACAAAGUCUUAAAAUACACACAAAAAUCGUUAUAAAUCGCAAAAAGCAACAAGAAACAAGCGGUUAAAGUCGACACAAUAGCAUCUGAAUUUGGCUUGUCAAGCAGUUUUCGCUUGUUUUCCCGCGUUUUGUUCCCGUAUCCUAGGAUACGAGGCCUCGUCACGAUUUAUGAAUAAGGUC